UACAGAGGGUGCAAGCGUUAAUCGGAAUUACUGGGCGUAAAGCGUGCGUAGACGGUUAUUUAAGUCGGGUGUGAAAGCCCCGGGCUCAACCUGGGAAUUGCAUUCGAGACUGAAUAGCUAGGUACGGUAGAGGGAAGUGGAAUUUCCGGUGUAGCGGUGAAAUGCGUAGAUAUCGGAAGAACAUCAGUGGCGAAAGCGACUUCCUGGACCAGUACCGACGUUCAGGCACGAAAGCGUGGGGAGCAAACAGG
rnacentral:rRNA from 1 species